rnacentral:lncRNA from 1 species
UACGAUGAAAACACAAGAGAACAACACUGCUAGACCAGACAUUUUAAGAGAUAUAUGAAAAUCAAACUACACAGGACACACGAUGAACACAACAUAAAUAGCUAAUCACAACACGCAUGAACAGAAACACUAGGUUGAUAACACGAUAAACCAGAGCGUCAAGGUGACAACAAAUGGAGGGGUCAUAUAGCAAGUCCACACCAACACCAGGCACAUCUACCUACAGCAACUAAACGACACCAACGAACCAAAACACACCACAAACCAGAGAAUCAUGCCAGCGACAGAUACGCCAGUGCAAAAGGAGUCCCCAGCCCUCAUAUGAUCAAAUGCUCAUGACUUGGGAGCAGACCGGGAGCGCAGCCUGCUUGCGACGCAGUCAGGGCUUCUUGCUUCGACCCACUUCCUCUUCUUCUUUGGCUCCGGCUUAGAUGGAGUGACGCAGCCGACAUCCUGGUGACGUUCCAGAGAAUCAAAUGUCACCCCGGACUCGCUCGUGCCAUCAUCCUUGCAGACCACAUCAGCAGUGAUCUUCUUCCUCGGGGCCUUGGCUUCAUCCUUCACAGCUGCUGCCUUCUUCUUCAUGUUCCCUUCCUUCUGCUCAACUUCACCAGCAUCAUUCAUCACGUUGCUGCUUAGAUCAGCAUCCUGCUUGGCAACUGGUGCCUUGUGCUCAGAGACCUCGCCAGCAGAUGGCAGCUCGUUUGAGGAGUCAGCUGAGCUUGAAUCCCCUGAGUUUGCUCCUGCUCGAUUUGUUGCAAUGAGAUAGUGGGCCACAGAUUUGUACCCAAGCCUGACAACCUGCAUGAUAGAAAUAACACCUGCUUGCUUAGCACUGUUCGAGCAAUUAGCAACAAAAAAAGUAUAACCCCAGUAAAUGAUUGUGACUUCGAAUCUAUUAUGUUUCUUCCAACUUUGGUCAUUUAAAAGUACAACUAACAGUCAUGGAAACAAACACUAUCCCAUUACAUUCUGAAAGCAUAUAUGCUGUAGUAUAUUACCUUCCGGUACGCAUUGCCAGUAGGGAACCAUCCUCUCUUAGUUCUGCAGAUGCUGCAAUUGCAAAUGCCACGGCAAACUGGACAUGUCCAAUUAGGAUUGCUCUUAGCUUCCAGCACAUUCUCACCAUACCUGCAUUAGUUAUAAAAUGUCAGUCCAAUGAAAACUACACAGCCAUCGGCUAAUCUUUCUGUUAUACAACAUUGCAGUAACAAAAUGGAGGUGAAAUCUCACAUCAACUUGGAACUAGUGAAAAUUUAGGGGGUUUCAGUUCAAUGAAUUCAAGAUCAAAAUGUCCCCAGCCCUCCCCUGUUUUCAUCCUACAAGCUUUUCCAAAUAAUCAGAACUAGGACCUCAGAUGGCAUAAGUUGAACAUUAUAAAUCAUAUUCAUUUACAAACUGCAAGUUGGAAAGCUUUCAGAUUUUGUUCAUUUAAUUUGAAUACUAACAAUCACUCAAUCUUUAUUAAAAUAUGCAGAUAGAAACUUGUAACAAAGAGAUGCAGCCGUAAGUGAUAAAUUUAUCACAGACAGUGCCAUUGUAAGCAUUUAGCGACAAAGUUGGGCGGACAAGCAAGCAUUUCCAUGAAACACUUAGUGUACACAUAUGUAAUCAUAGAUUGCUAGACUAAUUGGUAACAGACAUUCCACAGAAGCGUGCGUACUUACAGUAAAUUAACGUAAAAUAUGUUUCAUUUCGCCUAGAAGCGUGCAUGUUCAGAUGGCAUAACUUGAACAUUAUCACAAACUGCAAGUCGGAAUGCUUUCAUUUUUUUGUUCAUUUUACUUGAAUACAUAAAUGUACACAUAAUCAUAGGACAAACAUUCCACAGAAGCAUGCCUGCUCACAGUAAGUUAACGUAAAAUUUUAUGUUUCACCCCUAGAAGUGUGCAUAUUCAAUGAUUGGAAAAAGUACUCACCUCAUGUACAAACAAUCUCCACAGAACUGCCCUUGGACAAUCUGGCAAUUACAGCAUCUUGUAUGAUGACCCAGAGUUUUCUGGCUGUAUCAUGGAAGGACAUACUUUGUGUCAAGGUUAAACAAAGAUGAUAAACAAAAACGAAGUUACUAAAUUGUACAUCAUGCAUCCUCAAGAAAACUUAAAACUCUUCUGUUACAUUACAUCACAAGUUGUGACUGCAAAAGCCUCCCUACAUCACUAGAAACUCACAAGCUGUGACUGAAAUAACUUCCGACAGCAUAUCUAUCUUGUUACUUUUUACAUUUUACAUUCUGUUUACACUAAGAAUACCAGACCCUUUUUACCACAAAACAAGUGUUAUAUGUUCAUCUUAAUGCUGCUAUUUAUGCUAUAAGUUCAGCAAAUUGCACAUACAAGAAAGACCUAGCAAAGGAACGUGUAGAAAAGUUACACCAAUCCUAAAAGUUCUUGGGGGAAAACUUACCGGCACUGAUGACAGGUUUGGCCCCUCACUUGAUCAUAGAUGCGCUUACCAUCCUUGCCAUAACCGUCCACAAAGAGAGUCCAGGGUGUGGCACAUGUACCUAAAAGCUUCUCAUGUUCUUCAGUGUAAACUUCUUCCUUGCACCCUUCCUCAAUAGAGAAAGGCCUUCCACCAUCAAGACCCUUCUCCUUCUUUUCGCAAAUUUCAACAUAUCUAACUGGCUCCACGCUCUUCAACCUAAAUUGAACAUGAUCGCAAAAGAGGAAGAUCCACAUUAAUGCCACGAAAGGUACGCCUGCGGUGAAUGAAUGUUGAGGAUUGAAGGAAAUGAAUAUCGAAAGUUAACAACAAACUAGCUUAAACUCAAUCAACAUAACUACAAGAAUUCAUCUGUAGAAUUGCCUAUCCUAAACCGUUGAAAAGAAAAGACGCCCCAAAACAACUUGAUGUACUGUAAAAGGACUGCCACUAUUGAAUCUGAACAUGUGGCAUGAACUGGACUGUAAAUAUCCCAUGAGAAAUCAACCUAUUCCAGGAAACUAAGGAUUCGACGUGCCAAUUUUAUACGGUAAGCAUUGGAUUCGAGGUGCCCAUUUUAGAAGGUAAGCAUUAAAAUACUGCCAAAAGUAGUAGUCAGAAUGAAACAAACGGUCAGGAAGGGGAAUAUAUGGAAGUAAAUAGUGGACAGAAUACCGGAUUUGGCAUUUAUACAACAUGAAAAAGGUCAUACUCAUACUGCAAAAGGGGAACAAAAUCAGCAUGUUCAUACUUGAUGAUAGACGCACAAGAAUAAUAAGCUGCACAAGAAGAGUAUUUGCAGUGGGAUGAAAAUGAUGAACACAAGAAUAAUAAGCUGUACAAGAAGUCCGUGGAUUCCUCCCAUAUAAACCGAACAGGAGAAGCUACAUGCCAAGAAGAUAGAUUCGCUGCAAUCGAACCUGAGAGACCGGCGCGCGGGCAUCGGGGAGGCGGACUUGAUCUUGGGAGCGGCGGCGGCGGGGGAGCCCGGCGUCUCCGGCCUCCGUCGCCAGCGACCGCGACCGGUGCCGAUGCCGGCGGGGGUGGCGGACUGGUUGAAGCGGGUGGCGAGGUCGACGAGGCCGAGCUUCUACAUCCGCUCCAUGUUCUCCUUGAUCCUCGCCUCCCGCUCCCGCUCGUAGCCUUCCGCCGCGGCCGUCAGCGGGGACACGGGCGACGGGAUCCUUGGCGCCUCGACCUCCGCCGCGUCGGCCGCCAGCGGGGCCUUUGGCGGCCGGCCGCGGCGCUUCGCCUGUGCUGCCGGAGAGGCCUCCGCGCUGGCGAUGGUUGCCAUGGCUCCUUCUUCCGGCGCCGGCGGCGUCUCCGAGGUGGCGCGGCGGCGAGGUUUUGGGGGAAAGGGAAGGGGAGAGAGCCAGGAAAGCCCAACGGUUAGAUUGAGGUUUUUGCCAGUGCGCGGCGUGGUGGGGUGUAUAUAAUGCGACCGCUCAGUUUUUUACCGUGCCGCGUGCUGGGGUGGGGUGACCGUUGGGGGCCUGCUGAUGAGGCUGGCAGGUGGGGCUCGUGCCUCGCACGGAGCAACCGUGGCCCACUCGUCAGUGAGGUUUACCUCGGUAACUGUAUGUAUGUCCACAGUGCGCCCGGUGCUGGCAACACCGACGCGUGCCUUCGUCUACGACGUGUCCCCGGGUUUGGCAAACCUGGCGCGACGCCUCGUCAACACCGUCCUCUACCCGGCGCACACUACUUCGCCACCACUGCGCCCAUGACUAACUCGGCGCCUCUUUGCGCCCGCGGCUUCACAGCGACAUCCUCGACACCGGCUACCCCGACUCGACAUCGACUGCGGCGUUCUUCGCACGGCUACCUCGACCACGGCUCCACCACCCUACGCUCUCGGCUACCUUGACAAACGGCACCAAGGGCUACCGCCUUGCUUGAGCAAACUUGUCGGUUUUCACUCCAGCCACGACUUCCGCGAUGCAUCGACCGUUACGACUGUGGGGGGGUGUUCGUCGGCUUGCCUUCGGAUUCUUCUCCAGUCUCACCGUCUGCGUCGCUACCGUUAUGAUUGCGGGGGGAUGUUGAGUAUAAUGUUUAUUUAGGAAACAUAGGAUAGCGUAGGAUUUAUUCUACCUUGCCUUGUACUCCAAGAUGACCAUGUACUCCUAUAUAUAUGCCCAUGAGGCUCAAGCAAUACAACAAUCGAUUCCACCAAUCUCUCUCUAUCCCUUCUAACAUUCCUGAAAGUAGACAGCAACACGUCUACACAUGAUGAUAGAUUUUUAGUACAUACAUGUAUAGAAACAUAAAGAGAAGAAUAAUGAAUCAUUACCAGUACAAUAUAAAAUCUUACGCCUAUUUAAGAUGCUAAGCUUUCCUGAAAGUACACGGCUACAUGCAACGCCUAAUGACAUCAUUUUUAGUGAACAUACAAGAACAGAAAGAGAAGAAAUAUGAAUCAUUACCGGGGUGUGCUUGCAACUGGAAUGUCCUGUUUGGACGUGCUUCCAUAUCUAAUUUCUCAAAUGGUGGAGGCCCAACUCCAUCGUCAUCUUGUGACAGCCUCAAUACAGGCAAUGAUAAGCCCGAGAAUUUCUGGUUCAUUUUCCAUUCUUCAUACAAAGAUUGGACACUUCCCCCGAUGACGCUCACAUUUUUUGCACUCAGGCACAAUAUGCCAUGAUUUACUGGAAUCUUGUUCUCAAGACGAAUCUACAGAGAGUGGAAAGAAAAACAGAAAAUGCAUACUAACGUCAAUAUUUAACAUGUAGAGAAAACAUAAAAAAUGCAGAUAUUUUAUGUUAUUUUAAAUGUUGUAGAGUUGAGAAAAUAAAUUAGCGGCACGGAAAGGAAAAAAUCAUCUUCAACUAUUUCCUAACCAAAAGUCAAAAGUCAAAACUUAAGAUGUACUACUAAAAAUGCUAAUGAAGCAAACUCGCACAAACUGUGGGACAGAGAACCAAUGAGAAUUAGUAAUACUACAUCCACACCCAGUCUCAUGCUGCACCAUACAUCAUUUCCAAGUGAUUUGCGCACAGAGCAGUAUCUUGUUUUCCAACGAUUGGUUUAUGUUAUAUUCAUACUAGAUGAGUGGAAUAACUCCAGGCAAAGCCACUGAGCAUUCUGUUUGCCCCGAGUGAUUGUUAAGUAAUUGCCAGGCUUGUCUCCAGUCUCUAAUCCAAGUUGAAUUGAUAAGAAAAAUUGAACUAACAGCGCAUAUACACGCUGAUUAAACUAGGGUACGGUGACUGUGCAUAUUGCCUCUGGUAGUAUAAAACAAUGUCAACAGAAAUUGCCGCUGCACGAGUAGAACCUUGAGACAGAAAAUAUGGUGAACUAACCUUUGUGCCUGGGGCUAUCUCUUCUGUGAUGAACGGGAUAGGGGAAAACUCAAUGGCCACUGCUUCAGAAAUACCAUCCGUGAGACCAAACCGCAGAAGGCGCCGUUGCUGUGGGUUCUUAAAGGAGGCAUCGACUCUGCUGCUAUAUAUAUCCCUUACAGAAACUGCCUGCAUAAAUUCGACGGAACAGGUUAACAUACAAAGAGAGGAUCGAAUAACUAAGGACAUCUACACAUCCCAGACGCAAGAACAGCACAUGGUCAAACACUAGGAGAAUGCAGACUCAGCCGAAAUGUUAGGUAACGAGAUCACUGUUUGAGAUACACAGCUAUUUCCUCUGAGAGGUCUGAACCGUACCAUGGAAUUCCAAGCCACAUAAUUGAGAAGAAAACUAGGAACAAGUGUUGGGCUUGGUGAUUUCGGCAGUUUGUACCUGCAGGACGACGGGGCCGUGGAGGUAGGAGAGCCGCUUCGUGGCGGCGGCGGCGGCGCGGUCGGGGAGGGACUUCCCGCCGAAGAGCCUCAGGUCCGUGUCGAGGAGGUCGGCCUCCAGGGCCUCCGGCGACGGGGAGGGGAGGCGUGGAGGAGGGGGAUGGACUCGUCCGUGGCGUCACGGAAGCGCCACCCGCGCGCGGCGAGGGGUCGCAGGAGCGAAUCCCCCUCUGGGAAGGCCGACGAGCUCGACGCUUCCGCCGCCAUCGCCGUCGGCGGGGUAAACUGCUCUACGGCGAGGUUUGGGACACGGGUAGGAACUUGGAAGCUCUAGAGGAGGCGCACUAGCAUUAUGCUGCGGGCAAAGAAUGAAGGCAGGUUUCGGAAAUCCGUAAUUGCUCAAGCAAAGCGGGUGGCACUGAGAGAGGUAAACAACAAGGUUUUUUUUUUCUUUCUAUAAAGCGAAACAGCAGCAAAGUUAUAGCCAAGAGAGCAGUGACAACAUGUUAAAAGAAGAAGAGAGUAGUGACAUAAAAAAUAAUGACAUGAAGAAAGUAUACUCUAAAGGACAAGUGUCUAAUUUGAAUCCUCGUUUGUCCACAAUCUCUAUUUAUCCGUGGAAUGUUCGUACAUGACCACAGACAACAAAGGUUCAAUCAUAAUUUAUUUGUCGUAGUAAAAACGAUCCCUUCACCCAUCUCACUUUUAUCAAACACAUGUAGGUCAUACACGUGGAUCAUUCGACAACAAAUAUAACACACAUUUUUUUGACCCGCAAAAAAAAAUAUAACACACAAUAACUUAACAAUUCAACAAUUUAAAACAAGCUAACUUGAUCGGCGAUAAAAAAAAUUCAACAAUUUAUAUAUAGCCAGUAAAAUGAAUGAAUUGAGCGUUUUCUUUUUCCAUGGAUUGAUGAUCCAUUCCUUAGCAUCGGCAUCCAUGAGGCUUGCGCUGGCCAACAUGAUCCUCGUCUUCCCUCUCUUGAUGCUCUCCAUGUUUGACAAUGGUGCCGCGGGCAGCCCCACAGACUUUGCUGACCCCAACAUCCAUGCGGGCGGACGCCUAAGGUGGGAGAGGAGGGGGGGGGGCAUGGGGAGGGGGAGGGGGGUAUGUUCUGUUUGGGAUGAUUUGGGGUGGGGUCGAAUUUGUUGGGUCCAACAUGAUAGACAUGUUUGGACAACCUCAUUUUCAAACCACUUCCAAACAAAUGGAGGUGGUUUGGAAAGCUUGUUGGGCGGUGCUUUUUGUCCGGACCAUGGCACCAACUAGAAAAUAUUUAAAGACAAAAGGAGCAAUGCUUCUUCCUUUUUCCUCCUAUACACACAAUCAUCUCGUAUGGUUGUGGAGUCAGGACAAAUAAAGACAGUCUCCGUGAUCGUGUAGGCUGUUCUUGAUGCAGAGAUCUUUAUACGGGCUAUUACGAUGAAAAUACAAGAGAACAACACUGCUAGACCAGACAUUUUCAGAGAGAUACAUAAAUACCGAACUACACAGGACACACGAUGAACACAACAUAAAUAGCUCACAACACGCAUGAUCAGAAACACUAGGUUGACUAGUACAAUGCCCGUGCGUUGCUACGAGCCUUUUAACAUUAAUCUAAUCCUACGUAAAUUUAUGGUGCGGAGGAGACGUAUCAGACAACGCCAUCACAUUAAAAAACAAAGCGCCGAGGUAAAUUUAUAUUGCACAUUUACGUCAAUUGGUCAACAUGCUUGCCUUGACUCCAGGAAUACCUCCGGCUGAUGGAGGUCGCCAGGUAGGGUUACGCUAAUAGAAAUAUUUUGAUUAGAAAUCGAUAGAAACUUUAUGAAAAAUAACGCCUAGCUUGGAGCCUUGGACUUGCAAAGCCAGAGACGUGGUCCACGUCCAUGGGCGAGGAAGGGAAUCGUAGGAAAAAUUGGAUACACUUAUAUUAGUAUUUCAGGUCUGCCCAAUACAUAGUGUUCCUGAUAUUUUGGAUAUUUUACGCCAAGUUUCUUACUAAACACAACAGGCCUCUCGCAAUCUAAGAGGCUUCUUUGGUUUUGGGUGGUUCAACAAGAGGUAUUGCUUCAACACGCUGUUUCCCAGUCGAACAAAGCUCUCUUCUUCCGACUGUCCUAGAUAGGGGCAAGAAUAUGUUGAGAGAUAAGAAUAAAUGCUAGUAGUAAAUAGGACAAAAUCGUAGUUAAUCCAACAAGUUUCUUGGCAAAAUUUCUGAUCACAAAAAUGGAAAAUCCAUGUUGUGUAAUUACAGCGGCAGUACACAUAGGAGUGACUCCAUUCAAGAUGUGAAGUUACAUCAAUAUACUUGCAAACAUAAGACAGAGCACAGACUUCAUAUCUUUGCUAUCGGCUAGAGCUUCAGCUCCGAUCCCUAAGUUAAUAUUCACAUCUUCUCAGUAACAAUGCAGUUAUGCCCAACUUCUGGUCACACAAGGAUCAUGGACUGAUUACAGGUCACGAUUACAACAUGAGCACAAGAGCAAGCAUACACAUGCCAAAAGACAGAAUAUGCGUUGACUGAAUAACCUGCACGGAAGGCAUUAACACUACAUUAAUGUCCCUAAAAUCUACAGAAAAAAUGUAGCAAAAAUCCUGACAAUUAGAAUAUAUUGCAAAACAGAAUGCCAAAGACAGUUCAGUAUAUAUUACCAAUGCAACUCAGUUAUCAACAAGAUGAGCUAACUAAUUUAACUGGGCAAAAAUGGAUUUGAUUGUGGUAACCAGUUAGAACACAAGGUAACAAUGUCUCACGUGCUUGAGGCUGGUGCAAGGUAGGUUGGACCUAGCGAAGGACUGGAUCCAUCGGUGCGAUUUAUGCGGCCAUAUCUAUCUGCAAGGGCGAACGGCGAGAUGGUCAUCGAAGAAGCAUUAGAGCAACAGAAGUCCUCGUGAACCUUUGGUUCUGUGAAGGGCAGGUAAAAGUAAAAUUUUGUUCCAAAAUUAUUUGAUAACAAGUUAAGUUCGAAUGUGAAAUUUGAGAUUACAACAGUACAAAAAAUAACUAUAAAAUGCUGAGGAUCAUCUCCCUUCAGAAAUGUCAUCAAUUAAGAAUGCUGAAAAGAUCAUCACAAAUUACCUGAAGGCCUUAUCUCUGCUGUAAAGAGAUGAUUGUAGGGGCACUUAUACAAAGACAAUGUCUUCUCCUCAAAGUGCACGACCAACGCGGAAUUUGCUGCCUUCAGUCUGUCCUAAUUUUGCCAUGCACCCCAUGUCUGAUUAUCCACAAGAGCUCUGACAAACAACGAAUCAGCUGGACCAUGAAACAGAAGGACAAUAAAUUUACGAGGAAGGUAAUUUUCUGUUAUUGGCAAAACAUUUGAUAAUUGAUUAAACCCAACACCAACCACUACUUUGUCGCGCAUCUAUUGCCAAAAUCGCAGCUUUGCUUAUAGAUCAUAAGUGUGUGUGUGUGCGCGUGCGCGCGCGCGCGCGUGUGUGUGUGUGUGAUAUCUCUAAAUCGAAUAAACCUCCAAAAAUGACUCACCUCACCCAACAACAAGGUGGAAACUGCAACCCAAGAAAAAGAUGCCCUUCCCUCUCUCGGUGAAGAGCAUGCAUGACACCUUCAGGAGGUGCCAACCUCAAUCUCCUUCCUUCCUUGGAUGUGCUAUCUAAGUACAAAUUCCAGAAAAAAAUACAAAUCAUCCAAAGGAGAUUACUUUCCAGUAGUCAGGGGCCGCAAAAUGCAGCCAUGACACACCUAUUAUACACAUGCAUUCACCUUUAAGAGUGACUAAUCAGUAAACACUAAAAGGGAGUAGGAAAUAAACAAAAUACUUGUAUUACUGUGAAGAGGUGAAUAAAACAUAUCAUUUUUUAGGCUUUUGCAACCAGUGGCAAGAAACAAAUACAUGUGCAUCCUACUGCUGAUUCCUCACAAUAAUAACCUACUUGAUCAACACUGGUACAAAAAUAAAUAUUAUAUAAACGAACUAAUCUUGAAAAAUGGUAGUUGGAUUAAGAAGCAAUUAAUUUGAAGAGACCAAGAAUAUUUGUGGAGAUGGAAAAAUGACUCCUCGUUGGCGUUCCAGCAAAUAGGCUGUGAGCAACUCAGUCUGCUACGGAGUAAAAGAAAUUACGGAGCUAACCAACGUGCAAGAUUGAUUUCUAUAAAACAGAUUCACUUAUAUGCAAUGGCAUAUGAGUGGUGGCAGGGUUAUCUCACCACGAAAAAGGAUUCUGAAUCCCAUCUCGCCGCAGAGUCCACACACCACAGCUCGCUGCAAAGGCUAUCUCGGCGCCUGCCUUGAAGACACGAAGCAGGGGCGCUUGGAGCGGCCGGCAUGGAGUUGACGAGCACGUGCUCGGAGGCUUGUUCUCCUCUCCGGGAUCAGUCUGGACAAGGAGUAGCGUGAACCUCAGAGGAAGAUCCCAUUGUUGGUCGGGCUUCUGGGAGCUUUUCGAGGAGCGGAAGUAAUGGAGCAGCAGCUAUAAUGAUUGGUCCUCACCGUCCACCACCUCUUCAUCCGACUUUCCGGGUGGGCCGAGAUCGUGGUACGAUGGUGGCCGAGGUUGAACGCCGCGAAGCCUACCUUCCAACCACCAUGUGGUCGCGCCCACCCGCCGCCGCUCACUGGUCUGCCGUGAACAACUGCCUUCCACACGUACAAGCCAGCAGCAGCCAGCCAGUCGCUGUCGAAACCGCCGCUCACCAUGCGUGAUUAGAAUAUGAACGGAAGAGACAUGGGAGUGGGCUAAAAGAAAAGGAAAAUUACAUCGGUGCGAAAAGAAAAAAUACCUCGCUGCCUUUGCCGUGGAGCAACAAUGUGGCGUGCUGGUGCGAUCGGUAUAAUCUCACACAAAAUCUUACUUGAAAACAACAUCUCUGGUAAAAUCUCCACAUCAUUGACCUCAUCGGGUUUCAAGUAUAUCUUUCUCUCCUGGCAUAUACUCUGUAUUAAAUUAAGAUGAAUGAGCAUCAACCACUCUAGUCUCAAGUAAAAGAAUGAAACAUUACUUCUGAAAGAACUACAAAAGAAUGGUGUGCAGGAGCUUACUUCAAAACAACAUCUCUGGUAUAAUCUCCACUGAAAUAGCCAUCUAUUGAGUUUCCUUGAUGACCCCUAGCAAGAAUCAGUGCAAGAUUGUUGGCCACUAAAAAAUUAGGUACGCAACAUUCAAGUAGAGACCGAAAAGUAUCAAAACACCUAGCAGAAGUCAUGCAACCUUCAACCAUGAUAAAAGAACACCCUUUCACUAAGACGGCAUUUAAUGGACUAAAAUUAUUGAUAAUAGCUAGGUCUUACCAUAAGCGAUCUGCUGUCAAAUUUUUUGCACUCUUAUGUUGUCAAUUAUCAAGAUAAAACGUCUCUAGACAGUCAUUUCUGCAAAACCCACCAAGUGACAUUAUAAAGAGCACCGCAAGUGAUGCUCCAACGGGUAGCCAAUGGAUAAACGUACACCUGCCACGGCACCUUGGGUGCUAGCUAGUCUUGCUUCAGAAAAGGUAAUGGUUUCAAGAAUCGAGUGAAUGGAUCGUCCAAGGCUGAGAGCAUUUUCUUUGCUGCGGCAUCUGAAAAAAAAGUGGGAUAAGAAAAUUCAAUCAGACAACGUAAGAACUGUAAAACACAACAUCUCUCAGUUCUGCACAGAUCAAUGCUUUAUAUAUCUAAGUGGUUCGUUAUGUUUCUGACAAAAUUUCAGAUUCAACCAAAGCAAGUACAAGACAUAUAACUGCAUUUGAUCCAAUUAUCAAAUUCAGUCGUAUUUUCUAAAAUAUGAAGACUUGCAAAAGUGUGAGCCGUUGAGGCAGCUGAUAAAUUAUAUGAUUCGUUAUAUGAUAAAUUAAGUGAAUUUUGUAUGAAUCGCCGUGAUUCUUCCUACCAUUCUAUUAGUAAUGUGAUUUCCUUUAUCCGUUGAACUCACACCUCAUGUAGACAUUAGGGUCGAGGAACGUAAGAAACGAAAUCCCAGAACAACAGUACAAUCAUGUGCCUUUUAAUUCCUACAACAAUUAUCCGAUUUGCAAGAGAAUAGUUUCUCCUCAGAUCACACAACUCCUGCAUAAUAACAGAACCAUAUUUAUCAAUCUUCAAGUCGAUGACCUGAAGCAAAUUAGUGGUAGCAGUGUCAAUGAGUUUUGAUCAAGGAAUAUAUGUCUAUAUACUUGAAGCAAACAAAACACAAAUAUAUCCAGUUUAAGGAGUUUAGCUAUCACCUCAUUAAUUUGACCUCAACUUCUUUGGUGCUAUAGCACAUGUUUUCGCCAACAAGUGUUGUGAGGUGAAUGUAUUGAGAUCAAGUAGUUUUAGUGCCAUGGAUAACCGUUAAUGGCCAACAAUCUGGUGCAAAAACAACUCAACAAAAUGUUUAGAUCAUACUUUUAUAUAGGAAUUAUUAAGAGGGCUAUUACUAUGUACUACCUGUGUAUUGUGGAAAAAAAUGUUCAGAUCAUUUUACCUUUCAGGCUGCUGUAAUCUGCUCUAAUCUGCUAUACACUCUGAUAGUUUCGAAUAUAGUUCAGUAAGCAUAAGCCCGCCGUAGUUCCCUGUCAAGAAAAAAGUGUGUUGGCAAUGGAAUCUUAUCAAAACUGUAAAGUAAAACACACACCACUGAAGAAAUCAAUCUUUAAGAAAGAAAAAAUAGUACCUUAGUCAAUACAACUAUCACUAAAAAGUAGUUCCCAAGUAUAAGUGAUGGCCAUGCCUCAUUUAUAUACAACAGGCCAUCAUAUUGACAAGUAGCGGAAAAUAUAAAUCAAGUCGCUGCCGACUCUGUAUGGAGAAAAUAUCAGAUAUAGCCUGCUCUUAUGGAUUUGGAGUAUCCCAUAUUAAGUGUAAGCGCCAUUUGCUGAAGGACUAUUUGCAGAACAGAAUAUUUCAAUACUAUGGGAAUAUUAUAUUGCAUAGCUGACCAUCUAAUUAUUCGGAAAUCUAUAAUUCUAGAAGCACAAUAAAUUCAAGAUAAUUAACACCGUGCCGAAUGCUGAAAACUUUUGUUGACCAAUGACCACCAACAUGUUUUCAGAAAAUUGUGUCACAAGCAGUAUAUGCAAAUACAAUGGUAAUUUUUCGACCUGCUAUGUGUAUGGCACACAAGUUCAUACCAUUUUACUAAGCUGACAAUGUUCACAUAGUUCAGGCAUCAAGACCGAAUGGUAAAGUAACUGAAACAAAGACAAACUGAAAGGCUUCACAAAGUUCUGUUGUCAGUUUUGAACAGGAAAUGAUAGACAAAGAAUCUUGGAGCCUUUUGAGCCGACUAAAAUUACUUAAAUACUUUACCAUAAGGUCCAUAAGAACUUGAAAUCAGGUAAAUGUGGAUUUGUUUUUUUCAGAUGGCAAAUGUGAAAUUUAGUGGGAAAGAGAGCACUUAAUGAUAAACCAACUCAUGUACAUGUGAGGCCAGGCACAACACUUUCUGUAACAUAUCCCCACUAUCUAGAUUAUCAUACUACAAGCAUUUCACAAAUUGUUAAACAACCAUACAAAGGAACAGAGAUAUGCCCCCGCACACGGUACACUCCCCUUGAGAAAACUAUAAAAGGGUCUUUCCGUCCUAUGUGUUGACUCGCUUAAACUAAUCAGCAUUAGAUGAGAAUUAGAUGGACCGCAGGUAAUCAAGCUAAUUGCUUCGGAAUUCAACUAUGCGACGUGUGGUUGGAUCACACAUACUGUACCUUGUGGAUAUGUCAAGCGAAUCAUCAACUGAACAUACAACAAACAGAACAGCACAAUUCAUCUCCCCACCAAAGUGACAGACAUUGAUCACCGAGAUUGAAAGAUCAUCAGAGAUACACACUAAAAGGGACAACAAAAACAAGCACCAAUUGGCAUACAUAUUUGACGCACCUCUGCCUUUGAACUGCAUGCAUGUGGCGCACACGACGCCUACCGGAAGUUUGGCGAAGUUCCUAUAGACAGAGGGGAAGCAAAGAGUAAGCCCAAUUUGAGCGAUUUCAAGAGGAAAUUCAUCGUUUAUUACUUUUUCUGAUGGAGCGAGACUCAAAAGAACAAAAUCUUGCACUCACUGUAUCACGAGGUCGUCCGUGGAUGCCAUCCGCGGCGACCAACGCAUCCACCUCCCGAAGCGCCGCACCUGGAGCGCGCCCAUGUAGGCGGCCGCAUCGUAGCCCGCGUCCCCGCUGGCGUCGAGCGCGAGGGAGACGGCGAGCUCGCCCCCGCCCUCCUCCGCCAGAGAAAGCUCGCCGGCGGCGGAGGCGAGGAGCUGCUGGUCCUGGGCGGACUUGCCGGAGAGCAGGAGGAACGUGGUGGCGGCUGGGGCUCCGCCGCCGCUGCUAUGCUCGGCUGCGGGAGCGGCGACCCGGCGCGCACAUCGGUGGGGAGGCUGGCCAGCGCCGGCGGCGGCUCCAAUCGGUCCUCGGCAGCGGCGGAUCGUCUCAGAUCUCGGCGGCGGAUCGUAUUGGAGUAGAGAUGGGAUCAAGAGGAGUGGGCAAUGAAGGAUAGGAUCGAUGGAGCGUUUUUUCUGCCGGGUGUGGGGUUUUUUUUGGCCUGCGUGGGGUGGGGUGGGGGAGAGGACAAAAAAACCGGACGAAAAUAGUGGAAUGAAAAUAAACCCGGAAUGGAGACUACCAAGUGAGACAUUAGGAGUGAGACAUUAGGAGUAGAGAUUUGGCCAACACGAUAAACCAGAGCGUCUAGGUCACAACAAAAUGGAGGGGUCAUAUAGGUCCACACCACACCAGGCACAUCCAUCAUUGC